GUGCCUAAUAUACCGGAUAUGUUGGAUAAAUAUAACGAUGAAUAUUAUAUAAAAGACAGUGAGGUUUCUAAAAAAUUUGCUACUGAUUUAAUAAGACAUAUGUAUGACAACGAUUUUUUGUGAUUAAAUAAAAUCAAUUCUGUUCAAACAUAGUUUUUAUUAUAUAUACAGAGUGGUUCGUAACAACAAAUUUUAUAAGGGACUUUUUUGGUUUGUAUAUAUAAUACGAUCUAAACCGUUUAAACAGUGAGGGAGAUAACUACGAGUAUGGUUCCAGAAGUACCUGACCCAACAAACGUUGUAAUAAGUUUAUAGUUUUUCCUUUUUCUAGAUAGUCAAUGAUGGAAAGUUUUUGCCUCCUUUGGAGCCGAUUCUCUCUUUUCACUCCAUUGUUUUUAUUAUUUCGGGCAAAACUUCAUAUUAUUAUAUAUUAUAAUUAUGAAUUUGUGUUAUUAAUAAUACUAAAAAAUCACCCUGUAUAUAGAUCUUCUCUACAGCAAUAUUAUUAGAUACAAUUUGAGACGCCCUAUUUUCUUUAGUAUUCAAAUAUAUUAAAUUUAUAUAAUGAAAUUAAAAUAUGCAAAUACGGACCAUCAAUUUUAUAGAUCGUACUCUAAAAUAUUUAUUUAAAUAUCAAUUGUUGUAUAAUACAAAAACUUAUCAUUAUAAUCAUCGGUGUAGUGUAAUUUUCGUUUAGUAUCAGUUCAAAUAUUAAAUGCAUUAGCAUGGUAAAUAAAAAUGAUGUCCUCACUCUAAAAUACUAUUAUUCAAGAUAACCUUCAAAUCAAAUCUAAUAUAAAUGAUUGAUAUAAUCAUAAAGGAAACAGUUGAUGUUUAGAAAUAAUAGUGUACAGUGUAUUAUGGCGGACACAAUCCCUAGUGAUAUCAGAGAUAUACUAGAACAAGCCGUAGGAGACAGAAUAGGAAAUUUCGAAAUUGUAAAUCAUGGCGGCAACGCCGUAGGCCAAGGUUACAUGGGAGACAUCUUGUUUCUAACGUUAAGAAAUAAAAAUACAGGUAAACAACACCAUGUUGUCGUUAAACAAGUAUUAAGAAGUUCAUCGGAAAUUACCAAGGAUUUCAUGUCGAAUAGUUAUUACAAUGAAAUUAAUUUUUACACCAAGGUUAUACCGAUUUAUGAGGAAUUUCAAAAAUCUUACCCAGAAAAUCAACGUUUCGGUAACAUACCGAAAUGUUUGGCAACUACAAAGGAAAGGGGAAAAGAAAAACUCGUUUUGGAAAAUUUGAAAUUCGAUAAUUACGAGGUGCAUCCGAAAAAAACUCCACUCACAGAUGAAAUGUACGAAAAAAUAUUUAAGCUAUACGGAAGGUAUCAUGCACUUUCAUUAGCAUUUAAACAACACGAAGAAGAAAAAUUUUGGCAAUUGGCAAAUUCUUUCAAUAAUAAUUUUAAGAAGAUGAUAGAACAUGGUAUAAUGGCAAAAGCAAUUGUAGGAGCUUGUUACAUCUUAAAAAUGCACUUUGAUACUAUAGGUGAACAAGAACUUAGCAAAAAAAUUGAGAUAUAUAUCAAAAAAGGUCCACAACUAUUCAUUGACAACAUCACAUACAAAAGCCCGUUUUCUGUUAUCUUACAUGGAGACUGUUGGGGUAAUAACUUAAUGUUUAAAUACAACGAUUCGAAAAAAAUCGAGGACAUUAAAUUACUCGAUUUUCAAAUGGUCAUGUGUGGUUCACCAGUUUUGGAUUUAACAUAUACUUUCUACUCGGGGGCUGCAAAAGCCACCCUGGAUAAAUUAGAUCAUUUUCUCACUAUAUAUUACAAUAGUUUGAAAGAGACUUACAAAAAAUAUGAGUGUGAUAUAGAAAAUUUAUUUUCUUUCGAAGAUUUGAAAAAAGAAUGGAGAGAAAAUACCGCGUUUGGAUAUUUAAUGGGACUUGUAUUGUGGAUGAAUAAAAAUAUGGAAGUUCCUGAUAACAUAAAUUUGUCUGAUAUUAUGGAUAAAGUAGAAGACGAUAAAAUGGAAGAGAAAAGAAAAUUAGAAAUGUAUAAUACCGAGGGCUUCAGAAAACGAGGAACAGAUUUGACAAGACAUUUGUAUGAAAACGAAUUUUUAUAAAUUAAUACAUUUAUUUUAUAAAAAAUAAAUAAAUAAUACAAAUUAAUAUGUGGAUUUAAAUAAACUUUAUGAAGCUAAUUAUUCAUUGGAUUCAAUUACUAAUAACAGAUGCAGUUGUUGGUAAUAAUAUUCUGAUAAUAUUCUUUUUUAACUUUCCGUGUACUUAAUGAUGUAAAAAACAAAAUUCAGUUACACGUGAUUCAAAAUACAUAUUUAAUAUUCCCGCCAAGUAUUCUCUGCACCAUUCGAUUAUUGCGUCGCUGCCGGUUUUACCAGUUUUUAAAAUCAUUUAGAAAAACUCCUCUCAAAACAUACUGUUUCAUCUAUCCUAAGACGACAGUUUUAUAAUAUAUAAUUUUUUUAUUAAAUUAGUAAGUAAAAUUCAUGAAGUAAUUAAAAUUUCAUCAAAAAUUAGAAUUAAUCUUAUAAAAUAUAUAUUAGAGUAAGUAGAAAAUUUAUAACACCGGCAACGUUACCAUUUUUAAUAACUAAACUACUUUUUAUAACGAAACGCGAUUAGAACAGCGUUGCCAAUAGUGUCAAAUAAACAUUUUGUGUAUAUGUCGACUUAAUUUUAUUUCUUAGACCUUUUAAUGUUUAUGCAACUAAAGCUUGUUGAUUUUAGGUUUCUUCUCAUUUAAAAUUAGUUUUUUCUAUAAUUUUUUAAAGACUGAUGAAAAUUUAACGUGUCGACUUCUUUUAGUCUUUAUCAAAAUAUGAUAUUUUUGUGCAGCAUGGCAACGAUGUAGUUUAACCUUCAGUUCAAAAGACAGAAGUCGUUCGACUUGAUUCUAUGAUUUUAUUUUACGUUGUCUCUGAGGGGUAAAAUUGUGAAUAUAAAAUUAAACAAAUUAAAAGUGUUAUAAGUAUCUUUUGCGAAUGUGUGAAAUAUUUUUAAUGCUCGAGUUUCAUAAUCUAAUAUUUUUGCCAAUAUGUUAUAAUUUCUGUGUUUAUUGAUUGUUCCCGGGAAACUUUAUUGGAAUGUUUUAUAUAGCAAAGAUCCGAUUUCCUAAAUGAUGAAAACACUUGUAAUUUUGUAAUGUUUAAAAUUGUUCGAAUUUAGAUAGACAUCGAAUCGUCACCGUAUGUCAAAAUUUUGAAUUGAAUAAUGUAGCAGCGAAUGAGCAUAUAAAAGUUGAAUUUUCAUGUUUGCAUCUUCUACCAUCCAUUAAUUGAAUAUUGUCUGGUGCAGUUAUGAAUAUUUGACAUUGAUAUCCAGGUUCUCCCGCAUU